rnacentral:rRNA from 1 species
GCCGCCGCGGUAAUACGUAGGGGGCGAGCGUUAUCCGGAUUCAUUGGGCGUAAAGCGCGCGUAGGCGGCCUGCUAGGUCGGGACUCAAAUCCGGGGGCUCAACCCCCGCCCGGUCCCGAUACCGACAGGCUUGAGUCUGGUAGGGGAAGGCGGAAUUCCAAGUGUAGCGGUGGAAUGCGCAGAUAUUUGGAAGAACACCGGUGGCGAAGGCGGCCUUCUGGGCCACGACUGACGCUGAGGCGCGAAAGCUAGGGGAGCGAACAGGAUUAGAUACCCC